GAUGAACGCUGGCGGCGUGCCUAAUACAUGCAAGUCGAGCGAAUGGAUUAAGAGCUUGCUCUUAUGAAGUUAGCGGCGGACGGGUGAGUAACACGUGGGUAACCUGCCCAUAAGACUGGGAUAACUCCGGGAAACCGGGGCUAAUACCGGAUAACAUUUUGAACCGCAUGGUUCGAAAUUGAAAGGCGGCUUCGGCUGUCACUUAUGGAUGGACCCGCGUCGCAUUAGCUAGUUGGUGAGGUAACGGCUCACCAAGGCAACGAUGCGUAGCCGACAUGGGAGGGGGAUCGGCCACACUGGGACUGAGACACGGCCCAGACUCCUACGGGAGGCAGCAGUAGGGAAUCUUCCGCAAUGGACGAAAGUCUGACGGAGCAACGCCGCGUGAGUGAUGAAGGCUUUCGGGUCGUAAAACUCUGUUGUUAGGGAAGAACAAGUGCUAGUUGAAUAAGCUGACACCUUGACGGUACCUAACCAGAAAGCCACGGCUAACUACGUGCCAGCCGCCGCCGUAA
rnacentral:rRNA from 1 species